rnacentral:misc_RNA from 1 species
GAUGAAGAACGUAGCGAAAUGCGAUAAGUAAUGUGAAUUGCAGAAUUCAGUGAAUCAUCGAAUCUUUGAACGCACCUUGCGCUCCCUGGUAUUCCGGGGAGCACGCCUGUUCGAGUGUCGCGAAAUUCUUCAAGCCUUGGAUGGAUUUUUUUUUGUCUGUCCUUGGGCUUGGUUGUUGGGCUCUGCCGUGUCCUUCAUUGGGACGGCUGGCCUUAAAAGCAUUAGCCGAUCCUCGUGUGGUACUGGUUCUACUCAGCGUGAUAACAAUCUGAUCGUUGAGGACAUCUUCUGGAUGGCCAGUCAUCAUUUGGGUUGCUUCUAAACCGGUUUCGCAGAUUGCUCAAUCUGUGUGCCACUUUUCAGCUUUGACCUCGAAUCAGGUGGGACUACCCGCUGAACUUAAGCAUAUCAAUAAGCGGAGGA